UCGCCCGCCGCGCCCCGCGCCCGUCCCGCCGCCCCCGCCCGCUCCUACGGGAGGCAGCAGUGGGGGAUAUUGCACAAUGGGGGGAACCCUGAUGCAGCGACGCCGCGUGGGUGAAGAAGCGCUCCGGCGCGUAAAGCCCUGUCAGCAGGGAAGAAGAAGGACGGUACCUGACCAAGAAGCCCCGGCUAACUACGUGCCAGCAGCCGCGGUAAUACA
rnacentral:rRNA from 1 species